rnacentral:rRNA from 1 species
AGCGAACAUUGGCGGUAGGCUUAACACAUGCAAGUCGAGCGAGGCGUAAUAGUCGAGCGGCGAACGGGUGCGUAAUAUAUGGGAAUCUACCUCGAAGUGGGGGAUAACGUUCAGAAAUGGACGCUAAUACCGCAUAAUCCAUAUUGGGAAAGCGUUGCAGCGCUUUGAGAUGAGCCCAUGGCUGAUUAGCUAGUUGGUGAGGUAAUGGCUCACCAAGGCGACGAUCAGUAGCUGGUCUGAGAGGAUGACCAGCCACACUGGAACUGAGACACGGUCCAGACUCCUACGGGAGGCAGCAGUGGGGAAUCUUGCGCAAUGGGGGCAACACUGACGCAGCCAUACCGCGCGAGUGAUGAAGGUCUUCGGAUUGUAAAGCUCUUUCGGCGGGGACGACGAUGACGGUACCCGCAAAAGAAGUCACGGCUAACUUCGUGCCAGCAGCCGCGGUAA